rnacentral:rRNA from 1 species
AUUGAACGCUGGCGGCAUGCCUUACACAUGCAAGUCGAACGGCAGCACGGGAGCAAUCCUGGUGGCGAGUGGCGAACGGGUGAGUAAUAUAUCGGAACGUGCCCAGUCGUGGGGAUAACGUAGCGAAAGCUACGCUAAUACCGCAUACGAUCUACGGAUGAAAGCGGGGGAUCGCAAGACCUCGCGCGAUUGGAGCGGCCGAUAUCAGAUUAGGUAGUUGGUGAGGUAAAGGCUCACCAAGCCGACGAUCUGUAGCUGGUCUGAGAGGACGACCAGCCACACUGGGACUGAGACACGGCCCAGACUCCUACGGGAGGCAGCAGUGGGAAUUUUGGACAAUGGGCGCAAGCCUGAUCCAGCAAUGCCGCGUGCAGGAUGAAGGCCUUCGGUUGUAACGUAGCUUUGUUACGGUAACG